UCCUUACUCAUGGAAUAAGGACCCUUUCCCACAAGAGCUAGACUUGGAAUUUUCCAAACAAGCUGGAUAAAAGAUAAUUUGAGUUCAGGGCGUGAAGGACCACAGCUGAUUAAAGAGAAGACCUUGGGCACAUCAACUCUCAAACAUCUUGAUUACAGAAAUUGGGGGCUCUCAUUCCAUG
rnacentral:lncRNA from 1 species